UUUGACAUUUUGAUAUUUUGACAUUUUGACAUUUUGACAUUUUGACUGUUCGACAAUUUGUCAAUUUCUCGGGUGAGUUUUCAAAAAGCCGUAAGAGCCACCGUGACCUCUUACACUAAUUUUCGUUUUUCUCGAAAAUGAUACAAAAUUUCAUUUAUUUUAAGUAUGGGGCACUUUAAGGACGUGUAGAUGAACAAUCUCGAGCAUUUUAAAGUUUGAAGUUACAAAAAUAAUAAUGUCAAGAUAAUUACUAAACCUACCACAGAUAUCUUUUGGUAAUUUUGAAAGUUGUCACAUUUUAUUAAAAAUCAUUACAAUAUACUUUAGGCAUAAUAUUACAAUACUUAUCCAUCUAAUACAAUGCUGAAAGAACAGUAAUACUCGACCAAAAAUUUAGGAAUCAAAAGGUAUGACGAAUUUCUGUUUGACUUGAAAACGUUAUUACAGAAAUCGUAAUUUGUUUUCGUGUUCCUGAGUAGUUAAAAAUUUGCGUAAUUAUUUCAGCAUUUUUCAAAUGUAAUUACAUUUCUGCAUUGCCAAAUUGUUUCAAUAUUAGGUAACUUUACUACCCAUUGAUUGUGACAAAUCAGACACACCUUAUAUAUUCGAAGAACUUUGGUGCUCGUCUUGCUGGACGGUUGACAGCUUGAACUGACGUUUCAUUGUGUUUGAAAUUUUCACGCUUCAAACAAGUUGCUCUGUUUCUGCUGCUACUUUUUCAUUUAUAAUCAGUUAAUUUGCCAAUAAACGCAGAAAAUUUGGUGAAAAUGUGAAAAAAGCUUGCUGCUCUUCCCGCUGGCCCUGCGGAAGGCUAAUUUGGCUGAGAUUUUACAAGUUACACUAAAACCCCCGUUUACGCGCAGGCGUUACGCUUUUUGUUUGGUUAAUUUCUCGAAAACAGUGUAAUGUUUUUACAUUCUUUUGAAAGCAAUUUGUAGAUCUGCACAAGACCUAUAAAUCGCUUUAAAAAGAUUGCAAAAAUAUUGCGUCGUUCCAGAGAAAUCGACGAAAUACAAAGCGUAACGCCUGAGCGUAAACCGGGGUUUUAGUGUAGCCAUCUCCUAGUGGACUGAAUCAACUGGAACCGGCCCUCAAUGUUCUCCGCCGUGAAAUCAUUUUGUUUCUUUGAAACAGGUUCAUCAAUCAACUCGGGAGUGCGAGAGCUCGAGCCUCGUUGCCGAGCCAUGGAUGGCGCCGCGAAAGUUCUCAAUUCUUGAAUGUUCCGCCCUGAAGGAUGCCCAACACAGGAAAAGAAAAUAAUUUGGAAAUAAAUAAUGCUGUGUGGAAA